rnacentral:rRNA from 1 species
GUUGAACGCUGGCGGCAGGCCUAACACAUGCAAGUCGAGCGGAGCGGCGGACGGGUGAGUAACGCCUAGGAAUCUGCCCGGACGUGGGGGAAAAAGUCCGGAAAAGGGAGCUAAUACCGCAUACUAUCAGAUGAGCCUCGGUCGGAUGAGCUAGCUGGUGGGGUAAAGGCCUACCAAGGCGACGAUCCGUAACUGGUCGGAGAGGAUGAUCAGUCACACUGGAACGGAGACACGGUCCAAACUCCUACGGGAGGCAGCAGUGGGGAUUAGUGGACAAUGGGCGAAAGCCUGAUCCAGCCAUGCCGCGUGUGUGAAGAAGGUCUUCGGAUUGUAAAGCACUUUAAGUUGGGAGGCGUUACCAACAGAAGAAGCAACGGCUAACUUCGUGCCAGCAGCCGCGGUAAUUC